rnacentral:lncRNA from 1 species
CGGCAUACUUAUAUUUAAUGUUGAAGUUGGUCGAUAAUAUUUAAAUACUCAAAGAGAAAAUAUAAUUUGUAUAUAUUGCAAUAUGAAUGUUUAAGAGGACGAAUGACAUUUUGUUUUAUCAUGUCCAGCGUUAGGAUCUGUGCGUAUAAAAUUUCUACCUUCAUUCAAUUGUUCUAAACCAAAUCGGCACAAGUUAGAUAAUUUAUAACAAGC